rnacentral:rRNA from 1 species
UAAGACGAACCGAGCGAACGUUGUUCGGAAUCACUGGGCUUAAAGGGCGCGUAGGCGGGCUGCCAAGUUUGGGGUGAAAUCCUCCGGCUCAACCGGGGAAGGGCCUCGAAUACUGGCGGUCUGGAGGGAGGUAGGGGCGUGCGGAACUGUGGGUGGAGCGGUGAAAUGCGUUGAUAUCCACAGGAACUCCGGUGGCGAAGGCGGCACGCUGGACCUUUUCUGACGCUGAGGCGCGAAAGCCAGGGGAGCGAACGGGAUUAGAUACCCCGGUAGUCCUGGCCCUAAACGUUGAGAACUAGGUAGUAGGCCAGACAUGGGCUUACUGCCGGAGCAAAAGUGCUAAGUUCUCCGCCUGGGGAGUAUGGUCGCAAGGCUG